rnacentral:SRP_RNA from 1 species
GGGAGUUGGAUUUAGACAGUAGUUUCGCCAAGCCGGUCAGGACUGAGAAGAAGCAGCCGUAACGAUUGCUGCUGGGUUAGAUUUCAACUCCUUUU